AUCUCAGGUCCGUCAGCCCAC
rnacentral:miRNA from 1 species